rnacentral:rRNA from 1 species
UGGGGAAUUUUGGACAAUGGGGGAAACCCUGAUCCAGCCAUCCCGCGUGUGCGAUGAAGGCCUUCGGGUUGUAAAGCACUUUUGUCAGGAAAGAAACGUCAUGGGUUAAUACCCCGUGAAACUGACGGUACCUGCAGAAUAAGCACCGUCUAACUACGUGCCAGCAGCCGCGGUAAUACGUAGGGUGCAAGCGUUAAUCGGAAUUACUGGGCGUAAAGCGUGCGCAGGCGGUUCGGAAAGAAAGAUGUGAAACCCCAGAGCUCAACUUUGGAACUGCAUUUUUAACUACCGGGCUAGAGUGUGUCAGAGGGAGGUGGAAUUCCGCGUGUAGCAGUGAAAUGCGUAGAUAUGCGGAGGAACACCGAUGGCGAAGGCAGCCUCCUGGGAUAACACUGACGCUCAUGCACGAAAGCGUGGGGAGCAAACAGG